rnacentral:misc_RNA from 1 species
UCGCGCAGUAGAUUUCGCGUGUAGUAGAUAGCGCCCGCUCCGAGACCGCGCGGACCGCUUCGCUGCGAAUUCGAAUCUCAGCCGACUCGGAAAAAUAACAAACACGAGCGACCGCUCACUUUCGAAAAAAUUCUUUGCUUUCUUUGAUUCAACUCAAAACUAAUUUUUCAUCGUUCGAGAAUCUUCUCGAAGGACGGUAUAAAACCACGCACCCGAUGCCGUGUCCAUCACUUCAAGUUUUCCGCCAGUCUAAAACCGCGCUGUACGAGAAACAACGAGUAAUAGAUUUUCGCUUUUUUCGAUUUUAAUAGUCCUCAUCGCACUGAAUCGACUAUUCUCGGUACUUGCAAGGCAGUGGCCUGCUUGCAUAGCAUUUGUUCGCCGCUUUCCUUCUUUUGCAAAUUACAUCUUUUUUGUACUCUUUUGUGUGUGGAGCAAAUAUAGUCAAGUAAUUCUUUGUCUUCUCUUCCACCUUUUGAUUAAACUACCCGGAUCACAGAUUGCGCCUCUUUAAUUUUGUGAAGGACAAUAAACACCACCAUAAAGAUGAUUAAAUUAGAAAUGCCUUCAUUUAAAGAAAUAUUAAAAGAUACUGGAGGAAACGAACAACUUCUAGAAGAGCUACUGAUUAAACUUCGACAAUGGUUGAAGCAGCAAAUUCAUCUUCCUGAAGAUAUCUCUGAAAAACGAUUAAAGUUCUACAUUUACAGUGCAAAAUUUAAUUUAGAAAAAGUUAAGAAACGUUUGGAUUUGCAUUAUACUCUUCGUAAUCUAAUUCCGGAGAUUUUCACAACUCGUGACCCAUUGGCCGACUGUGUGCUUAAAGUAAAUACAUAUAUACAAUUUGUAACCCUACCAAUAUUAACACCAGAAAAUUAUAGAAUCACUAUGGUACGGUGGUUACAUACCGACAGUUCUGUAUUUGAUCUAUAUGAUUUUAUGAAAUAUUGCUCCAUGAUAGUGGAGACACGCAUAGAGGAGGAUAUAGUUAAUUCCGAAAUUAUAAUUUACGAUUGUACCAAUUUGACUUUCGGUCAUGUAUUGAAGUAUACACCAGUUGCAGCAAAAAAAUUCAACAUUGUUUUGGAAUCAUACGGUCCAAGAAUGAAAGCAAUUCAUGUGAUAAAUACACCAAGUUUUUUUGAUGUCUUAUUGACAGUAGUUAAAUCAGUAUUGAAGGCAAAUCUUGUUAACCGAAUACAUCUUCAUACGUCCGGAAUAGAAUCAAUAUAUGGGAUUAUACCAAGAUCUCUUUUACCAGUAGAAUAUGGCGGUGAACAACCAUCACUGAAUAUUUUAUCAGAUAUGUGGAAAGCAAAAUUGAUAGAACGAAGAGAAUGGUUCCUGAGGGAAGAAAAAGUUAAAGUUAACGAAUCUCUUCGAUCAAAUUCUGUAAUAAACCGGGACGAUUUAUUCGGAGUUUCUGGAACAUUUCGAAAAUUAGACAUUGAUUAACGUAUGUUCAAGUCCUGAGGGAGUAGACAGUGAGGUCAGAAGCACGUUAAUGGGGAUAAUAAAUGGCCUCGGACCGCCCUUUGCAAUUCACCCUUGGCCCGUUGAAACCUUUCGAAGGACAUGUACCAUGCUGAAGCCGCAAUUUUCACAUAUAUAUCAGCUUUUAUUAAUAUAUGAUACUAUCAAUUUGUUGCUGCAUGUAAAGUUGCGCAUAAACGUAUAAAACUUAUAAUAUCAUUUCUUACAGGAUAUUAAAAAAGGGGAUAAAGGAGAUCUUGAGGAUCUGGAAGGUCUCGGAGAUCUCGGGAUCAGGAAGGUCUCGGAGAUAAGGUAAACCACGAGGGUAUUCAAAUAGGACAAAAGAUAAUUUCGCUAAAUAGCUAGAAGCUAAUUUCUGCGAGGUUACAAGAGCGGCAUUAAUUAUAAUUGAGAUUGCGCCAACUUCACUACGCUGGUCAGCACUUCCCGCGAUCGCGCUCGGUGUGGCGAGCGUCAGGGACGCCACAAUAUUAUUACAAAGAGAUUUAACAAAUAUACCUUGCAAGAAUGAUUGAUGGUUCGAAUUUGAAACCUUUUGCUUUGUUUUGCUUGAUUCGCUGUUUCUUUUAACAAAUUUCCGAGAACAUACGAAGAUACAACUUUUAUCGCUCUAAUUUUUCUAUAAGAACCUGGUUCCUUGUCAUCCAUUGAGGCUUCGCGAAUCUUCUAUUAAUGAACUACGGAGCGUCGAUUAAUCGUUCACCGAGGCUUUGUGAAUCUUCUAUUAAUGAUCCGCAGAACAUAAAUCAAUCGUCUACCGAGGCUUCAUGAGCCCUCUAUUAAUGAUCCACGCAAUGUCAGUUAAAGAUGUCUAAUAGAGGUCCAUAUGAAAGGUAGGAUAAAUGUUUAAUGGAUGUCUGUCUGAUUUCCAUCGUGGAUGUAAACAUCUCAAAGAGCUAUGACGGUUUAAUGGAUCCCUAAUAAAUGUCUAUCUGACUUCCACCAUGGAGAUAAAUAUUCUAUGGAGCUAUGAUGGUUUAAUAAACAUUAACAGGAUGCCAAUUUCUAUAUGGGUUUAUUCCAAAAUAUGGACAGCCAAUGCGCAUUUUAUCAAAUCAUAGUAGUCAAUUCACGUCUGCAUUAUGGAAAGCACAUUUAAAUGCUGAAAAUAUGAAAAAGUUUUAUAUAGAUCGAUUAGGCAUCCUCAAUCUAAUCCUACAGAAUGGAUGAUGCGCGAAUUGGGUCGAUUUUUUAGGACAUUGCGGAAAAACAAUAUAAAAUGGAAUUAGUUCCAACAAUCGAAAAUUCAUUAAAUGUUACAAUCUAUCAGAGUACAGGUCUCAUACCUUAUGAAUUGCACUUUAGUAAAUCGGUUCAAGAUGAAAUCCUCAAAUUUAUUCAAUUUCCGGAAAACGAAAAACCCUCGCACCAAUAUCUCAUUACGAUGGCUAAGAGAAAACUUAAAAACAAUUUCAAAUAUCGUAAAAAGCAAUAAGAGAAUAUUUUGAAGGUUAAAUUAUUAGUUAGAGAUUUGGUUCUGUUAAGGAUAAGACAUCUCUCCAAUGCCUUUGAUAAGGUAGUUGACAAAUUUUUUCAUCUUUUUGAAGAUUCAUAUAAAAUAAUUCAGUAUAUUGAUGAAAAUGCGUUUUUAUUAGUUGAUCAUCAAAAUGAAUAAAGGGAAAUAGGCAUUUAUAAUCGUCGCAAUCUCCGAAAAUAUUACAGUGAUAAAAAUAAUGUUCCAAAAAGUAAGAAAACAUAAUAUUAUGUAUGUGUUUGGUUUCUCUCUAAACUAUUUUUGAAUUAUUGUUAAUGAUGAUUCCAGUAAGUGUGUGCGUAUAUUUUUAUUAGUAAUAUUGAUGUAUAUAUGUGUGAAAGGUAUGAAUGAUACGUAGAAUCAGGUAAUAACAAAAAUAUCUUCAUAGGAUUAGUUAAAUUGUAAUUAAUGUUUGACGUAUUGGUAUGUGACAUAGCCGUAAGCUAAUUUGAAUUAGUUAUUGACGAUUACUUUACGCUCCACACAUCACUAGUUUGUUGUAUAAAAGGAGAAAAAUUGUAACAAGUGAUAAUCAAAUUUGAACUGCCGCCAUUAAAGGCAAAGUUUGUUUCCCUCAAUUUGACGCAUGCAAAUGUUUAACUAAUAUAAUGCGCAUACCAAUCCAUAAUGAUCGAAGUGUGAGAGCCUCGUCUUUGCUCAUCUUCUUUCAUUCUGAGAUCCUGGCACGGCAAACAUCGAGAAAUCGAUGAUUGCAUUGAUCUGUCCAUUUGGAAAGAAGAAGGAAAUAGAAGAAGUGAAUACCCAGAAAGUGAGAUCUGGCCAGCUUCUUCAUAAUUUCCGCAGCCUUCUUCACAAAAUACAGAAAGAAUUCGAGGCCCCGGAAUAGCUGAGAAAGCUAACGAGGGAAAUCUCGAAGAGUAAAAAGAUAAGUCAUUAUUUCGAAAAGAGGUAUAGCGAAUUAUUAUUAUAUACAUUUUU